GUCUCAGUAGUUCAGUUGGCAGAAGGAUGGGCUGGUAUCCCAGAUUCGCGAGUUCGAGUCUCGCUUGAGACU